UACGUAGGGGGCGAGCGUUGUCCGGAAUCAUUGGGCGUAAAGCGCGUGUAGGCGGCCCGGUAAGUCCGCUGUGAAAGUCCAGGGCUCAACCCUGGGAUGCCGGUGGAUACUGUCGGGCUCGAGUCCGGAAGAGGCGAGUGGAAUUCCUGGUGUAGCGGUGAAAUGCGCAGAUAUCAGGAGGAACACCAAUGGCGAAGGCAGCUCGCUGGGACGUGACUGACGCUGAGGCGCGAAAGCUAGGGGAGCAAACGGG
rnacentral:rRNA from 1 species